rnacentral:rRNA from 1 species
UAGGGAAUCUUCCACAAUGGACGCAAGUCUGAUGGAGCAACGCCGCAUGAGUGAAGAAGGUUUUCGGAUCGUAAAGCUCUGUUGUUGGUGAAGAAGGAUAGAGGUAGUAACUGGCCUUUAUUUGACGGUAAUCAACCAGAAAGUCACGGCUAACUACGUGCCAGCAGCCGCGGUAAUACGUAGGUGGCAAGCGUUGUCCGGAUUUAUUGGGCGUAAAGCGAGCGCAGGCGGAAGAAUAAGUCUGAUGUGAAAGCCCUCGGCUUAACCGAGGAACUGCAUCGGAAACUGUUUUUCUUGAGUGCAGAAGAGGAGAGUGGAACUCCAUGUGUAGCGGUGGAAUGCGUAGAUAUAUGGAAGAACACCAGUGGCGAAGGCGACUCUCUGGUCUGCAACUGACGCUGAGGCUCGAAAGCAUGGGUAGCGAACAGG